rnacentral:rRNA from 1 species
AGCCGUAGAGAUACGGUGUCCUUCGGGGUCCAGCACAGGUGGUGCAUGGCUGUCGUCAGCUCGUGUCGUGAGAUGUUGGGUUAAGUCCCGCAACGAGCGCAACCCUUGUCCUAUGUUGCCAGCGGGUAAUGCCGGGGACUCGUAGGAGACUGCCGGGGUCAACUCGGAGGAAGGUGGGGACGACGUCAAGUCAUCAUGCCCCUUAUAUCCAGGGCUGCAAACAUGCUACAAUGGCCGGUACAAAGGGCUGCGAGACCGCGAGGUUGAGCGAAUCCCAGAAAGCCGGUCUCAGUUCGGAUUGGAGUCUGCAACUCGACUCCAUGAAGUCGGAGUCGCUAGUAAUCCCGGAUCAGCAACGCCGGGGUGAAUACGUUCCCGGGCCUUGUACACACCGCCCGUCACACCACGAAAGUUGGUAACACCCGAAGCCAGUGGCCCAACCCUUUGGGAGGGAGCUGUCGAAGGUGGGAUCAGCGAUUGGGGUGAAGUCGUAACAGGUAGC